rnacentral:rRNA from 1 species
UGCGUAGGCGGUUUGUUAAGUCUGUUGUGAAAUCCCCGGGCUCAACCUGGGAAUGGCAAUGGAUACUGGCAAGCUAGAGUGUGUCAGAGGAUGGUGGAAUUCCCGGUGUAGCGGUGAAAUGCGUAGAGAUCGGGAGGAACAUCAGUGGCGAAGGCGGCCAUCUGGGACAACACUGACGCUGAAGCACGAAAGCGUGGGAGCAAACA